CCUACGGGCGGCAGCAGUGGGGAAUAUUGGGCAAUGGGCGCAAGCCUGACCCAGCAACGCCGCGUGAAGGAAGAAGGCUUUCGGGUUGUAAACUUCUUUUGUCAGGGAAGAGUAGAAGACGGUACCUGACGAAUAAGCCACGGCGAACUACGUGCCAGCAGCCGCGGUAAUACGUAGGUGGCAAGCGUUGUCCGGAUUUACUGGGUGUAAAGGGCGGGUAGCCGGGUUGACAAGUCAGAUGUGAAAUCCUGCGGCUUAACCGCAGAACUGCAUUAGAAACUGUUGAUCUUGAGUACUGGAGAGGCAGAUGGAAUUCCUAGUGUAGCGGUGAAAUGCGUAGAUAUUAGGAGGAACACCAGUGGCGAAGGCGGUCUGCUGGACAGCAACUGACGGUGAGGCGCGAAAGCGUGGGGAGCAAACAGGAUUAGAUACCCGUGUAGUC
rnacentral:rRNA from 1 species